rnacentral:rRNA from 1 species
CGAACGCUGGCGGCAUGCCUAACACAUGCAAGUCGAACGAGACCUUCGGGUCUCGUGGCGCACGGGUGCGUAACGCGUGGGAACCUGCCCUUAGGUUCGGAAUAACUCCCCGAAAGGGGUGCUAAUACCGGAUAAUGUCUUCGGACCAAAGAUUUAUCGCCUUUGGAUGGGCCCGCGUUGGAUUAGCUAGUUGGUAGGGUAAAAGCCUACCAAGGCGACGAUCCAUAGCUGGUCUGAGAGGAUGAUCAGCCACACUGGGACUGAGACACGGCCCAGACUCCUACGGGAGGCAGCAGUGGGGAAUAUUGGACAAUGGGCGAAAGCCUGAUCCAGCAAUGCCGCGUGAGUGAUGAAGGCCUUAGGGUUGUAAAGCUCUUUUACCCGGGAUGAUAAUGACAGUACCGGGAGAAUAAGCUCCGGCUAACUCCGUG